UACGGGGGGGGCAAGCGUUGUUCGGAAUUACUGGGCGUAAAGGGCGCGUAGGCGGCCUGCUAAGUCGGAUGUGAAAUCCCUCGGCUCAACCGAGGAACUGCAUCCGAUACUGGCGGGCUUGAAUCCGGGAGAGGGAUGUGGAAUUCCAGGUGUAGCGGUGAAAUGCGUAGAUAUUGGGAGGAACACCAGUGGCGAAGGCGGCGCUCUGGGCUGGAACUGACGCUGAGGAGCGAAAGCGUGGGGAGCGAACAGG
rnacentral:rRNA from 1 species